GACAGAGGGGGCAAGCGUUGCUCGGAAUUACUGGGCGUAAAGGGCGCGUAGGCGGGAUGGCAAGUCGGUCGUGAAAUCCCUCGGCUCAACCGAGGAACGUCGAUCGAUACUGCUGUUCUUGAGGAUUGCAGAGGAGACUGGAAUUCCCGGUGUAGCGGUGAAAUGUGUAGAGAUCGGGAGGAACACCGGUGGCGAAGGCGGUCUGCUGGGCAGUUGCUGACACUGAGGCGCGACAGCGUGGGGAGCAAACAGG
rnacentral:rRNA from 1 species